UACGGGGGGGGCAAGCGUUGUUCGGAAUUACUGGGCGUAAAGGGCUCGUAGGUGGCCAACUAAGUCAGACGUGAAAUCCCUCGGCUUAACCGGGGAACUGCGUCUGAUACUGGAUGGCUUGAGUUUGGGAGAGGGACGCGGAAUUCCAGGUGUAGCGGUGAAAUGCGUAGAUAUCUGGAGGAACACCGGUGGCAAAGGCGGCGUCCUGGACCAACACUGACACUGAGGAGCGAAAGCCAGGGGAGCAAACGGG
rnacentral:rRNA from 1 species